rnacentral:rRNA from 1 species
GACGAACGCUAGCGGCAGGCCUAAUACAUGCAAGCCGAACGGUAAUCCUGACGGCAACGUCAGGACUAGAGUGGCGUAAGGGUGCGUAACACGUAUGCAAUCUGCCCUCAACUGGGGGAUAGCUCCCGGAAACGGGAAUUAAUACCCCAUAACAUGCCAGCGAGGCAUCUUGCUGGCAUUAAAGCUACGGCGGUUGAGGAUGAGCAUGCGUCUGAUUAGCUAGUUGGUGAGGUAACGGCUCACCAAGGCGAUGAUCAGUAGGGGAACUGAGAGGUUG